GGGGUUGUGGCUCAGUGGUAGAGUGCUUGCCUUGCAUGUGUGAGGUGCUGGGUUCAAUUCUCAGCACUCCA
rnacentral:tRNA from 1 species